rnacentral:lncRNA from 1 species
AGCUACUACCCUUCCAAAGCUAUGAUUCUCAAGAUAACUCAUCCCAGCAGGAUGGGCAGUCCAGGGGCCAACUGGUCCCACUGCUGGAGCAGAUCACACAGGACGGCCAGGGCCAGGGCCAGAGCGAUGGAGGCAUCCACCUGGCAGAAGGCAAACUCUACAAAGACAGGAGAAAGGUGUCACCAGAAGGAUCAGGAAGGCUUCCUGUCCAGUGUCUCCUCUGCACAUCUGCCUGGAUUUGACUGGUUUGUCCUUUCCUUGGAAAGCAGAUCUCUUGGGCACAAGACACAUCCUAGAG